AAAAAUUCAAAUAAUUAAAAUCCAGUAACAGCCAUUAUAAAUAAGUCUAAACUCAAGGAUUUAUUUUACAAAAUGGCUGCAAAAAUGUAUAUGUAGAUUAUUCA
rnacentral:sRNA from 1 species